rnacentral:rRNA from 1 species
AUUGAACGCUGGCGGCAGGCCUAACACAUGCAAGUCGAGCGGUAGAGAGGUGCUUGCAUCUCUUGAGAGCGGCGGACGGGUGAGUAAUGCCUAGGAAUCUGCCUAGUGGUGGGGGAUAACGUUCGGAAACGGACGCUAAUACCGCAUACGUCCUACGGGAGAAAGCGGGGGAUCUUCGGACCUCGCGCCAUUAGAUGAGCCUAGGUCGGAUUAGCUAGUUGGUGAGGUAAUGGCUCACCAAGGCGACGAUCCGUAACUGGUCUGAGAGGAUGAUCAGUCACACUGGAACUGAGACACGGUCCAGACUCCUACGGGAGGCAGCAGUGGGGAAUAUUGGACAAUGGGCGAAAGCCUGAUCCAGCCAUGCCGCGUGUGUGAAGAAGGUCUUCGGAUUGUAAAGCACUUAGGUUGGGAGGAAGGGUAGUAACCUAAUACGUUGCUACUUUGACGUUACCGACAG